UCAUAUAAUCAGGCCACCUGCGCGCUACUGACCUAGAUUCCUUGUGGGCUGACACACCCGUGUAGUAGGCCCACAACCUUGUAGAUCAUUAGUAGUGAUAAGCCUACGCAGGGUGCGGCGGUCAGUUUGAAUUGUUGUUUGCUCAUGCUUUGACAUUGGAUUAUUUCUGCCUAAUGCAGUUUGCUUUUCAAGUCAUCUGGAUUAUGUGGAUAUUUUCUACAUCAUUGUGUGUGUUGAGGAACAGAAGUGGUGACUAAUUAAUUAAUUAAUUAAGAUUGACCAACAGUUUUGAGAUCGCAAAUUUGAAGUGCUGUUUGGCUGCACUGUAGGCCUACUGUUCGUUUUCAGAUUCUUCAUCACCAUAGUACUCAAUGCUUUUUUCAUCUGGAUUGUGUGAAUAUCAAAUAUCUCUUCCAUCAGUUGCUUACAUGCUUCUCUUCUAGGCCUAUUUCUUGCUUUCAUCAUGUGUGGUUAUGACUCUGUUGGACUGUGACUGACACCUUCAAAAUAAACUGAAGGAAUAA